GAUUAACGCUAGCGGCAGGCAUAAUACAUGCAAGUUGAACGGGAUAAGUUGUAGCAAUAUGACUUUGAGAGUAGCGCACGGGUGCGUAACACGUAUGCAAUCUGCCCCUAUCUGUGGAAUAGCCCCUCGAAAGAGGGAUUAAUACCACAUAACAUAGUGAAUAGGCAUCUAUUUACUAUCAAAGCUCCGGCGGAUAGGGAUGAGCAUGCGGCUGAUUAGGUAGUUGGUGAGGUAAUGGCUCACCAAGCCAACGAUCAGUAGGGGGUCUGAGAGGAUGUCCCCCCACACUGGUACUGAGACACGGACCAGACUCCUACGGGAGGCAGCAGUAGGGAAUAUUGGUCAAUGGGCGCAAGCCUGAACCAGCCAUGCCGCGUGCAGGAUUAAGGCCCUAUGGGUCUUAAACUGCUUUCGUACCCGAAGAAACCCCACUAC
rnacentral:rRNA from 1 species